CUCCACUCUUUGAGUGUGAUUGUGAGUGAGCUUUUAGAGUACAGACGUAAGAUUUCUUCUUUUAAAGGCAUAUAUGUCCUAACCGUUCUUGCAAAUAUUAAAAAUACCGUAUUUCCUUUACUGAGCUCAGCCCCUUUGGUUUCAUUUUUGGCUAGUGGUUCUGGACUGGGGGCUUUUAGAAGAGGGGAGGUAAACGAGGCAGCAUGGCCAUGGGAGUAAAUGUUCACGUUACAGAAUCAUCGUUAGAGGAACAUUUUGAGAAAUUUUCAUACAUUUUUUAGCCUCAUAAUUAGAAGAGGGGGCUAAAUCGAGGAAAUACGGUAUGUGGCAGCUGGUUCGCUGAUCAGUACGGAGUUCACCUUUAUGGUGACAGUAUUUUUUGUAUCAAUAGACAACAUUCUUCAGUUUUUGCUAUACGAUCAUCACCCACCCUGGAGGCGAAAAUAGGAUUUAUGUACAAACGUACGUAGCACUUUAUACUGUACAUAGUUUUUCACUUUUUCUCUCUUUAACUUGUAAUACCUAAUAUAUGUCAUAUAUUUAACAUUUGGUUGACUGCAGUACUUAGGAACAACUAC